ensembl:processed_transcript 5730435O14Rik RIKEN cDNA 5730435O14 gene
AAAGCUCCAGGCUGAACCAGGAUGUCUGCAGCCAUUGCUAGCCCAGGGGAGGAGGAGGAGCAACCACAGCUAUCAAGAGCCAGUACCCGGACCAGGUGUGGCUGCUGUCUUCACAGGCUUCCUGACAAGCUGGAGACCAUAAAUAAAAGAUUCUCCUUUGGCAGGAACACAGGGGAAUCCUGGUGAGGCCAACAGUGAAAGCAAAAAGCCUGAGGGAAAAGCCUGGAACCUCUGCUGACUCUACUGGGUCACUCCACUUCUCUCUCCGAUCCUAACCGCCUCUGAGAAGCCACCAGUGCCAGGCGAGCCACGAUGUCAAAGCUGACACCAACAGCUGUUCUCUGGAGAAGCCGCUGCCUCUGUGCCCAUUAGGGCUGCAGUGAACUGUGGGGUGGGUAGAAAUUGUAAUGCCUGAGAAUUACAGUGGUACCAAUUCCACAGACUAAACCGAAGUAACACCUUCCUUCACAGCUACCCUGACACAAAGUGGGGACCUGCUUGCUUGCAUUAGGGAACUCAGCUAACCCAGACCUUCAUACUGACACAUGCCCUCGCAGACCAAAGGCCAAAACCAAAAUAAAA